rnacentral:misc_RNA from 1 species
GCGCUGCUACCCCUGCGUGUCGUCGAUGACUUCUCUCUUUUCCUUGUUUGGUCUUUCAUUUCUCCCGGCGACGGCAGUACGUUGACAGCGUGUGCCAUAGCGUGUCGACUCACCCACAUACACACACCACCACCCUAUCGCCCUUGCUUUUGUCCCUAGGUGCCGUCGGCGAGCCCGCAGUCGGGCGUUCGCGUCAUCAUAAUGCACAGCGUCAGCUUGGCCGGACUUUGCGCUGAGCUCUCGCGAAUACAGGUGGACUUGCUCCAGCGCCGCGGUGCGCCGCUUCUUUUGGCUCACGAAGGCAUCCAGCUCCUGCGGGAGCAGCUCCCUGCGAUCGAGUUGCCGUCCAGCGUGAACUCGCGGAUUUCCAUGUUGGUGCCGAAGCUGCUGCGGUCGUGUGCGACAGUGCUGCGCUUCGCACCGGACGAGGACGUGCUGCCUGCGUUGGACGCGCUGGACUUUUGCGCGGCCCUUACGGCAAAGUACGACGACGGCGGCCACCUUGGCGGCUGCAUUAACCUCAACGAGCUCUGCUCGCUUCUUCGCUCCACCAGUGCCCUGGACGACUGCCAGGCCCGCCUACUAGAGUUGGCAGGGCUCCCAUCGCACUCGGAUCUCGGCGCGUCACGGGCGUCAAGGUCGUCGACGACCGCGCCCCCCACAGCGUCAGCGCACCGAUUCGACUCGUUUCUCUUGUCAGUAUAUCGUCAUGCCAUGCAGUUGUGGUCUCUGGAGCGAGAAAGGCCAACGACGCUCAGUGUGCUAUCGCUCCUCGAGACGACCAGCCGGAUCUACGGUAAGGGGUUUCACUUCCCCGCUGUCGGCGCAGACAAGAACGGCCUGCUGCCCGCGAAGGCGAAGAUACGAAUGGAAGCCAAGAUGCAGCGCUGCGUCGGUGCGCGCGGCCUUUUGACAUCUCUGCGCAAGCUGGAGCUGAAUCGCACAGAUGCCGGCAUGUGCCUCGCAACGAUGGCGCAGACGGGACUCUAUGACGCGGAGGUGUGCAAUCGUAGCUGCGACGUCCUCUUCUCUCAGCAUGCAAUCUUGUCCAGUCAGCAGCUGUGCCAGGUCAUCUUUUAUCUCGGCACACUGCAGCACCGCCACAUUCAUCAGAAGUUCUUCUCGAGUCUGAUCGAAGCCGAGAAGUGCAACGCGGAGGCGAUGCGGCUGCACGUUCUCGGACUCGCCAUGCUGCGGCAACCACCUCCGAGCGAGGCGAGACUCAUGAAUGGCGUCUUCCUGCACGCACUGCGCGCCCCCCAUGCGCACCAACAGCAGCGGCGCAGCACCAAAAGCCCCUCAUCCUCCUCUCCCUCUCAAUCGUUGGAAAAAGCAGGAAGGUGUGAUGGAAAGGGGCAGCACUCAUUGUCGCCUCGCGCGCGCCGAGCUCUUGCCGACCCUUUGAACGACAGUGAAUACACCCUCCCGCCGCAGUGGUAUAUCGAUGUCGGCCACGGCCUUGCGUGCCUCGGCAUCCAGCACCCCAAGUACAAACUCAUGACAGCGCGGCAGACCCGCCGCAGCGUUGGCCGCCUCACGACAGCGGAGCGGUGCAAACUCCUUUACGCCCUGGGCGGCGUGCCCGCGGAUCAAGUGCCUCUGGAGCUCCGUCAAACGUGGCACACCAAGGUCGAGCGGACAAUCUCCAUCGCGACGGAAAAACUCAAGGACAUGGAGCCGCACGAGGGUCCCUACGUCAUGAACGCGCUGCUAUACUGCGGCAUCCAGGACCACCCGCGCAUACCCCGCGCGCCGCGGCUGGAGUCGGACGAGAAUCCUGUGGAAGUGUUGUUGCGCACGUGGUCGACAGUACCGAAGGAGCGGGUGCUCGAACUGACGGAGCAGAUCAAGCCACAGCACCUCCGCACUACAGUCCCGAACGCUCCCUCCGCGUUGGCCGAGGUGGUGACCCGCGUGGCGGAAACGUUUGGAGAGGCGUCGCGGGAGGAGUCGCACCGGUUGGAGCCGCUCUGCGCCGCGGUCGAGGCGCACAGCGUGGACAUGACUGCCGACGACUUGAUGCGGACGCUGAAGGCGCUUCUGCGGAUGGGCCGCACAGGCCCGCGCCAGCACGACGCUAUCCGCCAGCUCCUUGCCAGCCUGUGGGGGCAGCGAUACGACAUGGAAGCGGAGCAGCUGGUGCCGUGCUGUGAGUGUCUGCAGCAGUGCACCGACUUUCCAGACGCCAUGCGACUACUGCAGUUUGCCGCGUCACAUUAACGACUCGGUGCAUGUGUGCGUGUGCGUGUCUUCUGUGUGGGGGGGCCGACGCGAGACUUCUCCCUCCGUGGGGACCGCAAGGCGCUUUGCGCACUCGAUGCAUCGACGCCGUCGAUAUGCGUGAGCACGGGCGUUGCUCUCCUCCCCCGCCGCCCGACGGCGACCACCACCUCGCCCCUCGGCGCUGAUCUGUUUGGGGGAUGUAGAUCUGAACCUGGAAUGACGACACACACAAAACGCUAUGCAUUAUGUUUUCAGCCGCGCAUGUCCUGCACACACGCACUCACUUGUUUGUGGUACUUUGAGGUGUGAAGGUUAUGAUGCGGGAGAAACAGAU